rnacentral:rRNA from 1 species
CCUACGGGAGGCUGCAGUGGGGAAUAUUGCGCAAUGGGCGAACGCCUGACGCAGCGACGCCGCGUGAGGGAUGAAGGUCUUCGGAUCGUAAACCUCUGUCAGCAGGGACGAACGGUCACUGUGCUAAUCAGCAGUGAAUUGACGGUACCUGCAAAGGAAGCACCGGCUACCUCCGUGCCAGCCGCCGCGGUAAUACGGAGGGUGCGAGCGUUAAUCGGAAUUACUGGGCGUAAAGCGCUCGUAGGCGGUAUGUCAAGUCAAGGGUGAAAUCCCCGCGCUCAACGUGGGAACUGCCUUUGAAACUGGCAAACUGGAGUGUGUGAGAGGAUAGUGGAAUGCCAGGUGUAGGAGUGAAAUCCGUAGAUAUCUGGAGGAACAUCAGUGGCGAAGGCGACUAUCUGGCACAUAACUGACGCUGAGGAGCGAAAGCGUGGGUAGCAAACAGGAUUAGAUACCCCAGUAGUC